rnacentral:tRNA from 1 species
CAAAGAAUAGUUUAACGUAGAGCCCUAGCUUUGGGAGCUAGGGGUGGGAGUUCAAAUCUCCCUUCUUUGA